AAUCCCUUAACGAGGAACAAUUGGAGGGCAAGUCUGGUGCCAGCAGCCGCGGUAAUUCCAGCUCCAAUAGCGUAUAUUAAAGUUGUUGCAGUUAAAAAGCUCGUAGUUGAACUUCAGACCUGGCUGGGCGGUCUGCCUCGCGGUAUGUACUGUCCGGCUGGGCCUUACCUCUUGGUGAGCCGGCGUGCCCUUUAUUGGUGUGCGUCGGGGAACCAGGACUUUUACCUUGAGAAAAUUAGAGUGUUCAAAGCAGGCCUAUGCCUGAAUACAUUAGCAUGGAAUAAUAAAAUAGGACGUGCGGUUCUAUUUUGUUGGUUUCUAGAGUCGCCGUAAUGAUUAAUAGGGAUAGUUGGGGGCAUUGGUAUUGAGUCGCUAGAGGUGAAAUUCUUGGAUUGACUCAAGACCAACUACUGCGAAAGCAUUUGCCAAGGAUGUUUUCAUUAAUCAAGAACGGAGGUUAGGGGAUCGAAAACGAUCAGAUACCGUUGUAGUCUUAACAGUAAACUAUGCCGACUAGGGAUCGGGCGACCUCACAAUGAUGUGUCGCUCGGCACCUUACGAGAAAUCAAAGCCUUUGGGUUCUGGGGGGAGUAUGGUCGCAAGGCUGAAACUUAAAGGAAUUGACGGAAGGGCACCACCAGGUGUGGAGCCUGCGGCUUAAUUUGACCCAACACGGGGAAACUCACCAGGUCCAGACAUAACUAGGAUUGUCAGAUUGAUAGCUCUUUCAUGAUUUUAUGGGUGGUGGUGCAUGGCCGUUCUUAGUUGGUGGAGUGAUUUGUCUGGUUAAUUCCGAUAACGAACGAGACCUUAACCUGCUAAAUAGCCAGGCCGGCUUUGGCUGGUCGCCGGCUUCUUAGAGGGACUGUCAGUGUCUAACUGACGGAAGUUUGAGGCAAUAACAGGUCUGUGAUGCCCUUAGAUGUUCUGGGCCGCACGCGCGCUACACUGACAGAGCCAGCGAGUAUACACCUUGGCCGGAAGGUUUGGGUAAUCUUGUGAAACUCUGUCGUGCUGGGGAUAGAGCAUUGCAAUCAUUGCUCUUCAACGAGGAAUACCUAGUAAGCGUGAGUCAUCAGCUCGCGUUGAUUACGUCCCUGCCCUUUGUACACACCGCCCGUCGCUACUACCGAUUGAAUGGCUUAGUGAGGUCUCCGGAUUAGCUUUGGGGAGCCGGAAACGGCACCUUAUCGCUGAGAAGCUGAUCAAACUUGGUCAUUUAGAGGAAGUAAAAGUCGUAACAAGGUUUCCGUAGGUGAACCUGCGGAAG
rnacentral:rRNA from 1 species